UACGUUUAAGAUAUGUCUGGGUCACAUUUCCAUACUGUUCUCUGCAACCAUGAGGCCUAGAAACUCCUUUUUUUAAAAGGAAAGCAGAGAUUUGAAGCGUUCACACGCAACUUCUGAACUGGGGCUUUAAGGGAACAGGGAUUGUGCCACAGGAACAGAUGCGUCUCAGGCCUUGCCGCCACAAACACAACA